AUGUCAUCCAGACUAAGGAAGACUUGGAAACUUCAGGGCCAUGUGAGCCAUGGCCAUGGCCACAUAAUGCGGGUGGCAUGCAUCACCACAGGAUUCACUUUGACAAAUAUCACCCAGGUUACUUUGGGAAAGUUGGUAUGAGGCAUUACCACUUAAAGAGGAACCAGAGCUUCUGCCCAACUGUCAACCUUGAUAAAUUGUGGAUGUUGGUCAGUGAACAGACAUGAGUGAAUGCUGCUACAAGACCGGAGCUGCUCCCAUAAUUGAUGUAGUGCAAUCAGGUUACUACAAAGUUUUGGGAAACAGAAAGCUCCCAAAGCAGCUGUCAUUGUGAAGGCCAAAUUCUUCAGCAGAAGAGAUGAGGAGAAGAUUAAGGGUGUUAGGGAUGCCUGUGUUCUGGUGGCUUAA